rnacentral:rRNA from 1 species
CCUACGGGAGGCAGCAGUGAGGAAUAUUGGUCAAUGGACGAGAGUCUGAACCAGCCAAGUAGCGUGAAGGAUGACUGCCCUAUGGGUUGUAAACUUCUUUUAUAUGGGAAUAAAAUGUUCCACGUGUGAGAUUUUGUGUACCCUAUAAAUAAAAGUCGCCUAACUCCGUGCCAGCAGCCGCGGUGAUACGGGGGGUCCGCGCGUUUUUCGGAGUUAUUGGGGUUAAAGGGGGCGUAGGUGGAUUGUUAAGUCAGUUGUGAAAGUUUGCGGCCCAACCGUAAAAUUGCAGUUGAAACUGGCAGUCUUGAGUACAGUAGAGGUGGGCGGAAUUCGUGGUGUAGCGGUGAAAUGCUUAGAUAUCACGAAGAACUCCGAUUGCGAAGGCAGCUUACUGGACUGCAACUGACACUGAGGCUCGAAAGCGUGGGUAUCAAACAGGAUUAGAUACCCGGGUAGUC